rnacentral:tmRNA from 18 species
GGGGCUGAUUCUGGAUUCGACGGGAUUCGCGAAACCCAAGGUGCAUGCCGAGGUGCGGUGGCCUCGUAAAAAACCGCAAAAAAAUAGUCGCAAACGACGAAAACUACGCACUAGCAGCUUAAUACCCUGCUUAGAGCCCUCUCUCCCUAGCCUCCGCUCUUAGGACGGGGAUCAAGAGAGGUCAAAACUAAAAGAGCUCGUGUGGAAACCUUGCCUGGGGUGGAAGCAUUAAAACUAAUCAGGAUAGUUUGUCAGUGGCGUGUCCAUCCGCAGCUGGCCGGCGAAUGUAAUGAUUGGACUAAGCAUGUAGUACCGACGGUGUAGUAAUUUCGGACGGGGGUUCAAAUCCCCCCAGCUCCACCA